rnacentral:rRNA from 1 species
AGAGUUUGAUCAUGGCUCAGAGCGAACGUUAGCGGCGGGCUUAACACAUGCAAGUCGAACGAGAAUGAGGGGGCAACUCCUCUAGUAAAGUGGCGGACGGGUGCGUAACACGUGGACAAUCUACCUUCCGGCGGGGGACAACAGUUCGAAAGGACUGCUAAUACCGCGUACGUCGGCGAGGGCUCCGGCUCUUGUCGAGAAAGAUGGCCUCUCCUUGGAAGCUGUCACCGGAAGAUGAGUCCGCGGCCCAUCAGCUAGUUGGCGAGGUAAUGGCUCACCAAGGCUAAGACGGGUAGCUGGUCUGAGAGGAUGAUCAGCCACACUGGGACUGCGACACGGCCCAGACUCCUACGGGAGGCAGCAGUGGGGAAUAUUGGGCAAUGGGCGAAAGCCUGACCCAGCCACGCCGCGUGAGUGAUGAAGGCCUUCGGGUCGUAAAGCUCUGUGGGGAGGGACGAACAAGCGCGCACCAAAUACGUGUGUGCCCUGACGGUACCUCUUUAGCAAGCACCGGCUAACCAUGUGCCAGCAGCCGCGGUAAUACAUGGGGUGCAAACGUUGCUCGGAAUCAUUGGGCGUAAAGCGCGCGUAGGCGGUCGCUUAAGUCGGAUGUGAAAGCCCUUGGCUUAACUGAGGAAGUGCAUCCGAAACUGAACGGCUAGAGUACGAAAGAGGGUCGCGGAAUUCCCGGUGUAGAGGUGAAAUUCGUAGAUAUCGGGAGGAACACCGGCGGCGAAGGCGGCGACCUGGUUCGAGACUGACGCUGAGGCGCGAAAGCGUGGGGAGCAAACAGGAUUAGAUACCCUAGUAGUCC